CACGUAGGGCGCGAGCGUUGUCCGGAUUUAUUGGGCGUAAAGGGCUCGUAGGCGGCGUGUCGCGUCGGGGAGUGAAAGCCCGCUGCUUAACGGCGGGUUGGCUUCCGGUACGGGCAUCGCUGGAGUGCGGCAGGGGGAGACUGGAAUUCCUGGUGUAGCGGUGGAAUGCGCAGAUAUCAGGAGGAACACCGGUGGCGAAGGCGGGUCUCUGGGCCGUUACUGACGCUGAGGAGCGAAAGCGUGGGGAGCGAACAGG
rnacentral:rRNA from 1 species